rnacentral:lncRNA from 1 species
GAGGACUUAGCAGGACAAGAGGAAAACCAAGUGCAUUUCCACUUUGCCUUGUAAUGUCUGCUCCAUUUUUUUUUUUUUUAAUUUCUACGGAGAAUCCACUGAUGUACAUUGUGUCUUACUUUGUACAUAGUAUGCUAAGUUUUUGAUUAGCUACAGAAGUCACGGAAUUCCCAUUGCUAAUAUUUGAUUUCUAUACUGUGUUAACUGAAUGGCAGGAGCAAGGUGCAAUUGAUUGAUUGGUGCAUGACAGAAAGAGGAAGAAAUACAUUGUACUCUGUCAUUCUUUUGGGGAAGAAAGCACGCUUCUAACUUCUAAUUAUAUGUGCCAAAAGGAAAACGUGACCUCAGACUUCUAAAACACUUCCUUUGAAGUGUCGAAUUGGGAUAACUAUGUAAGUAGAAUCACCCUGUGGUCUGCUGCAUGAGACAGGCUGUACUUGAUAGUAUGUGUGAUUUAAAGACUGUUAAGCAGACGAACCACUGAACAGCUGAGGGUGGAAGGGACCUCUGGAGAUCACCUGGCCCAACCCCCUGCUCCAGCAGGGCCACCCAGAACAGGCUGCCCAGGACCACGUGGUGGCUUCUGAAGAUCUUCAAGGAGGAGACUGCAUGACUUCUCUGGGCAACCUGCACCAGUGCUCUGUCACCCACACAGCACAGAAGGGUUGCUGAUGUUCAGAGGGACCCUCCUGUCUUCCAGUUUGUGCCCACUGCCUCUUGUCCUGGCACUGGGCACCACAGAAAAGAGUCUGGCUCUGUCCUCUUUGCAACCUUCCUUCAGAUUCCAAGUAUUGGCAAAGAUACUGCGCCCUAUGUUGACUUCCUGUUCACUAAAGUUGCAGAAAGUAGCAGCGUGCUAAAAAGAUCAAACAGCCAAGGUUGCCAGACAAUGACAUUAAGGCAGCUGGAAUUACUGCUCAAGGAGAAAGUAUGUUGACCAGGGUGAUAGCACAAACCAUGUGCUGGUAUCAUAGGUCACUUCAGAUAAGUAGAUGGUGCUCUUGAUCUACUGCUAUCAAUUUAGUAACAUGCAUAAAUGGAUGUUGCCCUGUUGUAUGCUUAAAGUGUUGUUUUUGUUAUUAUCAUGCUAAAGUACGAAGUAUUUUAACUCUCCUCUCCUAAUCUAUGCUAUGAAUCCCUUUUUAGCAUCAAAAAGCUAAGUACUCUUCUCUUUCAAGCAGUCUCGUAACAAAUCUCUGGCUUAGGACUGGCAUAGUCCUACUGUGAUUCUAUUUCUUCAUUACUAGAUGCUUGUGGCUCGAGUAACAAUGCUUGUUUUAUAUAAGAAACUAGAUUCUCCACACCAGUACAAUUCCUGAAAUCAUUUAGCUCUUUGCAAGACUGGUACAAAACAUUCAGUCACAUCACAAGCAUAGUAUUUUAACUAUUUUGUACUCUUAAAAUUAUCCAUCCACCUGAGAGCUCAGGCUACUUAAAUCUCAGACAGGGUGGAACAGCAUCAAAAUACUUUUUUUAAUUGGGGAAGACGUGGAGGUAUGACUAUGGAAAACCUAGACUUAUUUAUUCCACAAACUGAGCCACAAAAACCUGUCCAUCAGUGUCAUGAUCUUAUUAUAUUUGGACAUUUUCAAAUUAACCUGUAACCUGAUGUCACAUAUCAUGUCUGACUGAGAGAGGGAGUUAGGAGAAUCUUAGCAAAUAGAGAUAGAGCGCUGAUGGUAUCA